GCUGGAAUGGCCGAGUCGUUAAGGCGAUAGAUUUGAAUGCUUCCGAGCUAAAUAUCUAUUACUCUCUGAGUGCGUAGGUUCAAAUCCUGCUUCCAGCG